GAGUUUGAUCCUGGCUCAGGACGAACGCUGGCGGCGUGCUUAACACAUGCAAGUGGAGCGACGAACCGGGGCUUGCCCCGGGGCAGAGCCGCGAACGGGUGAGUAACACGUGGGUAACCCACCCCGAUGAUUGGGACAACCCGGGGAAACUCGGGCUAAUACCAAAUGUGCUGACGGUUCAUGAGGACCAUCAGUAAAGAUAGCUUCGGCCUUCGCAUCGGGACGGGCCCGCGGCCCAUUAGCUUGUUGGUGAGGUAACGGCUCACCAAGGCGACGAUGGGUAGCUGGUCUGAGAGGACGAUCAGCCACACUGGGACUGAGACACGGCCCAGACUCCUACGGGAGGCAGCAGUGGGGAAUCUUGCGCAAUGCGCGAAAGCGUGACGCGGCACGACCGCGUGGAGGAAGACGGUCUUCGGA
rnacentral:rRNA from 1 species